CAUUCAGAUAAUUUAGUUGUUUCCUCUCUUCAUCCCAGUGCCUCCACGUCGAUACAAAAAUUAUGCGUCAAUCCUAAGCUAGUUAGGGUCGGAUAUAUGAAACUUGUUUGGACCUAUUCCGACAUCAACAUGCUCAAAAAUUUCAAGUAUUUUACAGCUAUUCUUGAUAUAGAUGUUUUUGAUAUUUGUAAAUAGUUUGUUAAUGAACUGCUAUUUUUACUACUAAUACUACUACUCCUAUUACUACUAAUACUACUACUACUACUACUACUAUAACUAUAAUUAUCAAUAUUAUUAUUAUUAGUAUUAUUAUUUAUUUGUUUAUUAUUAUUAUUAUUAUUUCUUAUAUGGUGGUGGCGGUAGCAAUCUAAAUAAACAAUUUUGCCACUUCCCUAUGCCCCUUCAAACGCAUGUGUUCUGCUUUUGGUUCUAUGGUUUGAAUGAAUGAAGGAGAUGGCACUUCAUCAUUUUCACUAUCUUCUAGAGUUCAUGAUAACUGUUGUUUCCCUUUUGAAGUCAAAUAGAAAUAAACAAUUUUUUCACUUCCCUAUACCCCUUCAAAUGCACGUGUUCUGCUUUUGGUUCUAUGGUUUGGAUGAAUGAAGGAGAUGGCACUUCAUCAUUCUCACUAUCUUCUAGAGUUCAUGGUAACUGUUGUUUCCCUUUUGAAGUCAAAUGUUGCACUUGAAAAGGGGUGUGCAUAUCGAGAAGCUUUGGUUUGUUGAUAAACUUUUAAAUGUGUGUCAUCAAUGGAAGUACAUAUAUUAUUUGGGAGAAAUGGAUGGAAAAGCAACGGGCAAUGUGAAGGUUGUGAAAAUAUUUUGUGGUGUCUUGGUAAGACUGUAGUUUUUUCUUAUCCAUCUGUGGGUUUCAGUUCCUGGUGCUAUUAGGUGGCUUCCCAUGGAAUCUGGUACAUCUUUUUUCAGAAUGGGAAGAGUCCCAUAGAAAUCUCAACAUUUUAUUUGUCAUGCAUCCUACUUAUAAAUCAUAGUAAGUGGAUUCUGAUGGAAAAUCAAGGAGCAGCCUGAACUUGAAGUAAAGCUCCGGUGUCGUGGGUUGAACUUCAAACAUUUUCUCUUAUUGUUCUUUCUUGGGGUGGCACACUGUAUCAGUAGUUGUCAUUUCACUGAGAGUUUUUAAAAUCUGCUUGCAUGUUCUUUGACAGAAAGCUAUGACUAAAUAGGGCACUCUACCCUCUAUACAAUUUGUUUGUUGUCCUUAUGAUGUUUUUGUCAUUGUCAAUACUUAAAUAGAGAGGGCAUAUGUUAUAAUUGUAACUUCAUUGGGGGAAUGCUUGCUUUUAUU